rnacentral:rRNA from 1 species
UACAGAGGUCUCAAGCGUUAUUCGGAAUUACUGGGCUUAAAGAGUUCGUAGGCGGCAUGAAAAGUAGGGUGUGAAAGCCCUCGGCUCAACCGAGGAAUUGCGCUCUAAACUGUCGUGCUCGAGGAAUCUAGAGGUGAGCGGAACUGAUGGUGGAGCGGUGAAAUGCGUUGAUAUCAUCAGGAACACCGGAGGCGAAGGCGGCUCACUGGGGAUUUUCUGACGCUGAGGAACGAAAGCCAGGGGAGCGAACGGG